CCUCCCAAAGUGCUGGGAUUACAGGUGUGAGCCACCAUGCCCAGCCCUAAUUUUGUAUAUAUUUUUUUGUCUUUGUAUGAGAUUUUAUUAAAGGUCUUUACAGAGCAACAUCCAGACUCCAGAAUACAGCUGCUAAGGAGACCCUGUUAUGCUAUGGGGGUGGUGGGCAGUAUCUCAUCUUUGGGUUCCACGAUGCUCACGUGGUCAGGCCAUCCACAAACUUCAUGGAUUUAGCCCUCUGUCCUCGGAGUUUCCCAG
rnacentral:lncRNA from 1 species